AUUGAACGCUGGCGGCAGGCCUAACACAUGCAAGUCGAACGAGUGGCGGACGGGUGAGUAAUGUCUUGGAAACUGCCCGAUGGCGGGGGAUAACUACUGGAAACGGUAGCUACUACCGCACACCAGCGGAUGUGCCCAGAUGGGAUUAGCUAGUAGGUGGGGUAAUGGCUCACCUAGGCGACGAUCCCUAGCUGGUCUGAGAGGAUGACCAGCCAAACUGGAGCUGAGACACGUUCCAGGCUCCUACGGGAGGCAGCAGGGGGGAAUAUUGCACAAUAGGCGCAAGCCUGAUGCAGCCAUGCCGCUUGUAUCAAGAAGGCCUUCGGGUUGUAAAGUACUUUCAGCGAGGAGGCGUUACUCGCAGAAGAAGCACCAGCUAACUCCGUGCCAGCAGCCGCGGUAAUUC
rnacentral:rRNA from 1 species